GACGAACGCUGGCGGCAUGCCUAAUACAUGCAAGUCGAGCGAACAGAUGAAGUGCUUGCACUUCUGACGUUAGCGGCGAACGGGUGAGUAACACGUAAGGAAUCUACCUAUAAGCGGGGGAUAACAUUCGGAAACGGGUGCUAAUACCGCAUAAUAUCUUCUUCCGCAUGGAAGAAGAUUGAAAGACGGCUCUGCUGUCACUUAUAGAUGACCUUGCGGUGCAUUAGUUAGUUGGUGGGGUAACGGCCUACCAAGAUGAUGAUGCAUAGCCGAGCUGAGAGGGUGAUCGGCCACAUUGGGACGGAGACACGGCCCAAACUCCUACGGGAGGCAGCAGUAGGGAAUCUUCCGCAAUGGGCGAAAGCCUGACGGAGCAAUGCCGCGUGAGUGAAGAAGGCCUUCGGGUCGUAAAACUCUGUUAUAAGAGAAGAACAAAUUGUAGAGUAACUGCUACAGUCUUGACGGUAUCUUAUCAGAAAGCCACGGCUAACUACGUGCCAGCCGCCGCCGUAA
rnacentral:rRNA from 1 species